AUUGAACGCUGGCGGCAGGCCUAACACAUGCAAGUCGAGCGGUAGAGAGAAGCUUGCUUCUCUUGAGAGCGGCGGACGGGUGAGUAAUGCCUAGGACUCUGCCUGGUAGUGGGGGAUAACGUUCGGAAACGGACGCUAAUACCGCAUACGUCCUACGGGAGAAAGCAGGGGACCUUCGGGCCUUGCGCUAUCAGAUGAGCCUAGGUCGGAUUAGGUGGUUGGUGAGGUAAUGGCUAACCAAGGCGACGAUCCGUAACUGGUCUGAGAGGAUGAUCAGUCACACUGGAACUGAGACACGGUCCAGACUCCAACGGGAGGCAGCAGUGAGGAAUAUUGCGCAAUGGGCGAAAGCCUGACGCAGCGACGCCGCGUGGAGGAUGACGGUCUUCGGAUUGUAAACUCCUGUUAAGUGGGAAGAAAACCCAAUCUCUAAUAUAGAUUGGAUAUGACGGUACCACUAGAGAAAGCACCGGCUAACUUCGUGCCAGCCGCCGCAGUAA
rnacentral:rRNA from 1 species